GGAAUUUUCCGCAAUGGGGGAAACCCUGACCGAGCAAUGCCGCGUGAAUGAAGAAGGCCUUCGGAUCGUAAAAUUCUGUUSUUAGGGAAGAAUAAUGCGACGGUACCUAACUAGAAAGCUCCGGCUAAYUACGUGCCAGCAGCCGCGGUAAUACGURGGGAGCGAGCGUUAUCCGGAAUUAUUGGGCGUAAAGCGUGUGYAGGCGGUUUAUYAAGUCUGAUGUGAAAGCCCCCGGCUCAACCGGGGAGGGUCAUUGGAAACUGGUAAACUUGAGUACGGUAGAGGCAAGUGGAAUUCCAUGUGUAGCGGUAAAAUGCGUAGAUAUAKGGAGGAACACCAGUGGCGAAGGCGGYUUGCUGGGCCRGAACUGACGCUSAGRCACGAAAGCSWGGGGAGCRAACRGGAUUAGAUACCCCUGUAGUC
rnacentral:rRNA from 1 species